GUUCUUUAUUAUGGAGUUUUGCGUGACGUUAUAGUGCUUGACUAUAAUACGUUUCAUGUUUCAAUAUUCAAGUGUGAUUGGGUAAAUAUUGUGAACGGAAUAAAAAAGGAAGAUGGAUUCACUUUGGUUAAUCUUAACGAAGGACACAAACAAUUUGAAAAUGAUCCGUUCAUUUUGGCAACACAGGCAAAACAAGUAUUUUAUUCUAGGAAAAAUGAAACAUCUAGUUGGCAUGUGGCUUUGCAAGCGCCACAAAGAGACUCUGACGCAUCAGAUUUGGAAGAAGAUACUAAUUAUGAGGUAACUAUUCCACUAGAUAUAUCACAGCCAAUUAUAGACAACCAUGAUGAAGAUGACAAUUAUGCAAGGAUAGAUGUUGAAGGCGUACUAUGUGAUACGUAAAGUAGUUUGGUAACUCCCUUUUUGUAGACAACAUAUUUUUUACAUAAUGAUCAAUUUUUCUAGAAUAUUUUGACAUGUGAUUUAUCUAUCAAUUUAUAUUGCGAUGAAAUGUUGAAUAACAUCUAUUUGUUUUGAUGUUGUAGUUUUUUAUUCUAGCUCUAGAGAACCUUUUCAAUCCGAAAUACAUUUUGUACGAUGGACAAGACUCGGGUAAUUGUGUUUUCUUAUAAUACAUAAGAUAUAUGCUAAGUUUUGAAAAUAAUUUCAUUAAACUUAUGUUUCCAUGUUGUAUUCUCAAAGCCAACUAAACAAACUUCAAAGAGUUCUAAAAGAAGAAGAGCUUCAAUUGCUAAUGCAAUUCGGGAGACAAGUAAGAGACUAAACAAUUCUAGUGAACAAGACAAUAUUAUAACUAGUCCAACUAAUGAUGAGCAAACCACAUUACCAACAACUGUAAAUGCUCCAAAAAAGAAAAGAGGUCCAACACAAGUGAAGAUGAUUCCUGAACAUAAUUAUUAGAAGAUAAAUCUAGAAUUCAAUAAAUAUGGCCAAGUUGUUGGGCAGAAUUCGGAAAAAAUUUCUAGCGUAGUUGGGGCCAUGGUACGAGAACAUGUGCCUAUUGUAAUUAAAGAUUGGACUUCAGUGAAUGAAGAGACUAAAAUGGAGCUCUGGACUUUCAUACAUGUAAUAUUUCGUAACUACCUUUUGAGAUUAUUACGUUGUAUUUAUUUCUUUCUUAAUGAUACCAUUUUCUAAAGUCUUAAAUUCAUGCUUGUGCAUAAAUACAGCAAAGGUUCAAUGUCAGUGAUUGUCAUCAAAGAAUGACAUUUCAAUGUAUGGGAAAGUACUGGAGGACAUUCAAAUCAAGAUUGAGAAAACAAAUUAGAACUCAAGUUGAAUCAUCUAUGAAUAGAGCACGCACUAUUGAAUGUCAACUCUGAAGAAGUCUGGGUUAAAUUUGUUGACGAUACUCUUUCUGCUAAUUUUCAUGUACGUAUAUUUGCAUGUAAAGUUUAACCCUUAUUUUAAUUAUUGUUGUUUUAUACUUCAUUGUUUUUUCAAUAGGAGAGAAGUUCCAGGUUCAGCAACAUGCGAACUAAUUAGAAGCUUCUCCAUACUAUGGGUAGAAAGGGUUAUCCACGUGUGGCUUAUGAAAUGGUACUUCUUACGAACAUAUCAUGUCUUUUUACUUGAAUUGUCCAAUUUCAAUAUAUUUGAUUACUACAUUUGUACUGCAGAAGAAAAAGAAUCCACAUUUAAAAGGGUUAAGAAUAGAAGUAUGGAAAUAUGGACAUCUCAGAAAAGAUGGAAAACCAAUUAAUGAAGCAGUUGCCGAAACAUUGGUAUGUGUAUUAUACUAAUGUUCAAUUAAGCAUAAUUUGAUUUAUUAGUUGUAUCACUUGCUACUAUUUGAUUUGAGUUCCUUAAGUGCAGAAAAAGAUUGAAGAUUGUGCCACAUCAAUUUCCGAUAUGCUUGCAUAAGAUUCUAUCCGUGAUGAUGCUAUAGCUCGAGUUUUUGGUCCCGAACGCUAUGGAAGAGUUAGGGGACCCGGAUUUGGAGUUGUACCAUCAAAAGUGGAUGGAUAAAUACAAAGUAGUGGGAGAGCUAGAGAACUUGAAAGCCAAGUACAGAUUCAGGCACAAAGGAUGGGGGCAUUAGAAGAAAAAAUGGAGGUUUUCUCAGUAGGUUAUAAGUAGUUACUUUUUAUACAUUUUAUGAUUAUAUAGCUUUAUAUAGCCAAUUACAGGUAUAAUAACUUUUGUAAUUUUUGUAUUAUUAUACAAAAUGUGGAGGAUAGGAAUUCAAAUGCUUUUAAUCAGGUUUCCAUUUCCUAUAUUAUUAAAUGUUUAUUUAAUAUAUAUUCAAUUUGUAGCAUUCUAAUUUUAAAAAGAAUACUUUUUGUUUAUUAUGAAUUUGUAGUCACACCAAGGAAGUGGUGUCCAAAGAAGUACUACCCCCAAGACAAAUGCAAGAUGUCAACUGUUGCAUUGGUACAUGUUUGAGGAGGAAGAAGUCGUAGCAGAAGGGAAGAUUGCCACAAGAGAUCCAAGUGCAAAGGUGCAUCACUUGCCACUCGGUCGAGACUGUUGAAAGGUUUGGAUUGAGGAAGUCUAUGUGGGUAAUUUGACCCUAUACAGACCCACAUAUGAAUUCCGCACUCUUAGUGAAGCCAUGGAAAGUACUAUUGCUUGGUCAAAGAGUAGUAUUAGACUUCUUGAUUAAGGUAUUAGACUCUUAGUGGCAAUGGUAAGUUUCGGUUUUUGUAGUUUCCUAAUUACAUUUUGGUAGUACAUAUUUGGAGACUCUUAAUUUUAUUUUGGAAGAGAUUAUGUGUUGAAUAUUUUACAAAUUUA
rnacentral:lncRNA from 1 species